rnacentral:rRNA from 1 species
UGCGACCGUGUAACAAAUGAAACAAGAGACACUGGUAUAUAUCUCGUGAAACAAACGAAAUAAAAGACUCUGGUACCCGUGUAACAAACAAAAGACUCUGGUCUAAUGCCCGUGUAACAAGUGAACUAAAAGACUUUGG